rnacentral:rRNA from 1 species
UGGGGAAUCUUCCGCAAUGGACGAAAGUCUGACGGAGCAACGCCGCGUGAGUGAAGAAGGUUUUCGGAUCGUAAAACUCUGUCUUUUGGGGCCGAACGUGAGUAUGGUGAACAAUCAUAGUCAGUGACGGUACCAAAGGAGGAAGCCACGGCUAACUACGUGCCAGCAGCCGCGGUAAUACGUAGGUGGCAAGCGUUGUCCGGAAUUAUUGGGCGUAAAGAGCGCGUAGGCGGGAUAGUCAGUCUGUUGUAAAGUGCGGGCUCAACCCCGUGAUCGCAAUGGAAACAGCUAUUCUUGAGUGCAGGAGAGGAAAGUGGAAUUCCCAGUGUAGCGGUGAAAUGCGUAGAUAUUGGGAGGAACACCAGUGGCGAAGGCGACUUUCUGGACUGUGUCUGACGCUGAGGCGCGAAAGCCAGGGGAGCGAACGGGAUUAGAUACCCCCGGUAGUCCUGGCCGUAAACGAUGGGUACUAGGUGUGGGAGGUAUCGACCCCCUUUCCGUGCCCGGAGUUAACGCAAUAAGUACCCCCGCCUGGGGAGUACGGUCGCAAGACUGAAACUCAAA